rnacentral:tRNA from 2 species
GGUGGUGUGGUGUAAUGGUAGCACGUGACGUUGUGGUCAGACACAUUCGAUCCGUUUCAAUCUGGGUUCGAUUCCCAGCACCGCCA